ACAAAAUAACAGACAUAAAUGCAUUUUCAUAUAAAGUCGGAUCCAAACAUCUGAUUCCACUAUUUGUUUUAGUUUCCUUUAACACUGAAAAUGAACAGAAGAUAAGGUUUACGAUUUUUAAAUGUUUAAUGAAGUUAAUGUUCAAUGUAUUCCUUACUGAAUAUGUAAUAUACAAGCUUCUGUAUUAUUUAUUUUAUUUUAAAUAUAUGCAGAUUUGUCCUUGUUAAUUAAUCCUUGUACUUGUUGUCCAAGUUGUAAUGUUUAAUUAAUUUGUAAAUGUGCUGUUAGUUAUGUGUGCUGUAUGUUUCUUUUCCGCCUCCUACUGGGGUUUUAAGGUACUGCACUAUAUUUCGCUGUUUGCUUCCGGUUUCUCUCAGUGAACACAGUCGAGAAGAACGUGCACGCAGUUCCUAUCAGCUAUUGAUUCUAUCGUUCAUAAGUUGGAAAUAUAUGUCUUUUUACAUAAAAGAAUUGAGAAGAACAAUCACCCACCAGUAAAGUUACUAAAGUUAUGAAGAUUGCUUUCUGGAGUUCUUUUCUGAAAGUGUAUGCUAUUUGUUAAGCCUUUGCUGAAGCUACGCAAUUGGUCAGAACAGAAUAAUAAAGAUCAUAGAGUUCAAGGGUCAUGGAGUGUUUAAAGCAAGGAGAAUACAGGCUAAAUACAAAGAAACACAGAAAUUCAUUGUGGUUUUACUCACAGGCUGGAUGACUGCCUUUGUAAUUUCAGAAGGGAUGACUAAAGGACUUUUGACUGAGGUUUUUGAUCAACACACUGGUAUCCAGAUGGAUUAAUAGUCCCUUGGAUAAACAGAGCCAUUCCUGGUUUUAUCCCUCCAGAAAUAGGACCAAUAUAAGGUUGGAUGACUGGGUUUUCAAGCUCUGAUGGGAUGGGUAACAUUUUCAAGAACGAUCUCCCCAAGCCUUUGAUUUUCGAUUGCUCCAUACAUAGAGAAGUUUUGCUCCAGUUCUGAAGAUUAAAA